UACGGAGGGUGCAAGCGUUAUCCGGAUUCACUGGGUUUAAAGGGAGCGUAGGUGGGGUGGUAAUCAGUGGUGAAAUCUCCGGGCUUAACUCGGAAACUGCCGUUGAUACUAUCAUUCUUGAAUAUUGUGGAGGUAAGCGGAAUAUGUCAUGUAGCGGUGAAAUGCUUAGAUAUGACAUAGAACACCGAUAGCGAAGGCAGCUUGCUACACAAUUAUUGACACUGAGGCUCGAAAGCGUGGGAUCAAACAGG
rnacentral:rRNA from 1 species